ensembl:lncRNA
AUGCUGUGGAAGUGUAAGUAUUGUGAGUUUAUGUGUGAGAAAAGGGGUUACCUUUUAAAACAUUACCGGUUAAAACACGGAAACUAUGGAAGAACAGCCCCAUUUCCCUGCUUACACCAAGAAUGUGUGUGCACAUUCAACUCCAUGAAUGCACUCAAGGUUCACUUAGCAAAGAUCCACCAAAAAACCCAGGUUCCACAGCCAAUAUAUACUGCACAAGUAACCUUUCAGUGUCAGUCAUGUGACUUUUCUGCACCCUGCACAGAAGCAGUCUUCCUCACUCACUUGCGCAGUACACAUUUGAAGGUAAAUCACAGAGUCCAGUGUCCAUUUAAUGGCUGCAACUUUCACACCAGUGUGUAUUCUACAUUUAAUGCACACAGAAGUAAAGAGCACAGAACACUCGACUGGAGGAUGUUCAGGCCGGAAAUUGUUGCUGGUAAUGUAACUAAUGAAAUGGCACAAGAAUAUCACGAGCCUCCCAAUGACACCUCCGAAUCGGAAGACAAUGAGGACUCUACCAAUGAAGAUCUUCAUGAUUUAGAAAAACAGCUGGAGCACAAUCUUGCUGCUCUUUUUUUAAAGAUGCAAACAGUGCUACACAUUCCAGAAAAUACAGUACAAGAAGUUAUAAAACAGCUGCUACAGAUUUGUGAACUAGCCCAGCCACUGCUGCAUAAUGCAGUCAAGGAAAUUCUCAAACCACAUACAAAUGUGGAAGAUUCUGUUGUGGAAGAAUUAGUAAGGGCUGCUGAAAAGGGUAAUGUAAUGAUGAAAUUCUGUGGCAAGAAUGGCCCCUUAUCAACUACAAAAAGGAGAGCAGCAUAUGUGAAUAAAAACUUUACAGAGGUUAAACCAGUAGAGUACCUUAUUGAAAGAGGAAAAAAAUGUAGUGCUGUAUAUGUACCUUUGCAUCCAAUGCUACAGAAGAUGUUGAGUAGGGCAGACAUUUUGGAUAAAGCUCUUUCCAUCCAAAAGCAUGUGCAACAUGAGUACAGUUCAUACAGAGAUGGUACAUACUGUAAUGAAAAUGACCUCCUUAAAGGGGAUGAAUUCAAAAUCGCUGUUGGACUAUAUACAGAUGAUUUUGAAGUGUCCAACCCUUUGGGAACAUCUAGAAAGAAACACAAAAUGAGUGCAGUGUAUUGGGUGAUAGCUAAUGUCCCAUCAAAGUACAGAUCCACACUCCACUCCAUCCAGCUUGCUGUCUUGUGUAAAGCCUCUUAUGUGAAAGAAUUUGGCUAUGCAAAAAUUCUCCACCCACUCAUUCAAGAUCUAGCUUCUUUGGAGCAACAUGGUGUCUAUGUUGAGAAGUUGGGAGAAUGUGUUAAAGGGACAGUUGUAUAUGUGGCUGCAGAUAACCUGGCUGCUCAUUCUCUGGCAGGAUUCUUCGAAAGCUUUACGGUGGACAGAUUCUGCAGGUUCUGCAUGGCAACAAGGGACGAGAUGCAAGCCAAAGAGGUAAAUUCAGGUGCUUUUGAACCCCGCACUAUUGAUGCUCACAAUCAGCAGGUGCAGGAGGUAAAGCAGGAUCCUACUAAGGCAAAACAAUAUGGUGUUAAAGGAGAGUGUGUACUGACUGAUGGUCUGGAGCAUUUUCACGUUGUCCAUGGGUAUCCCCCCGACAUCCUCCAUGACCUUUUGGAAGGGAUUGUUCCUGUUGAGCUAUCACUCUGCAUUUCAAACAUGAUUUCUAAAAAAUAUUUUACCAUAGACACACUGAACUAUGCUAUAAAAGCUUUUGAAUAUGCCUUUGAUGACAAAACUGACCAGCCUCAGCCAAUUUCCCACAGCUUCUCUACCAAAGGGACCAUUGGUGGCAAUGGCCAUGAGAACUGGGCUCUACUUAGGCUGCUCCCACUUAUCAUUGGCCAUAAAGUCCCUGAGGGAGACGAUGCAUGGAACAUUUUACUGCUCCUAAAAGAGAUUGUUGAGUUGGCUGUUGCAACAAAGCACACUGAAGAGUCAGUACAUUUCCUUGACUGCAAAGUGUCAGAACACAGAGAAUUGUUGCAAACAACAUUCCCAGAUUUUAGAUUACGGCCAAAACAUCACUACCUCGAGCAUUACCCCGAGCUGAUCAAAGCAUUUGGUCCCCUUUCAGACGUUUGGACAAUGCGAUUUGAGGGGAAACACAAAUUCUUCAAACGGGUCAUACGUAAUGCCCACAACUUCAAAAAUGUAGCUCUGACAUUGGCUGUUAAGCAUCAGAAAAUGAUGGCUUACUAUUUGGACACAAGUUCAUUUUUCAGGCCAUCAGUUGAAAUGGACAAGGUCACUACAGCAUCAAUCAGAUCUUAUCCUGAGGAUGUCCAACAGGUUUUCUGCCGGAAAGUUCCUCAGCUCACAUCAGUGCUUGUUGCAUCAUCAGUCUCUGUAGAUGGAGUUACAUAUCGUUCUGGCAUGAUAGUCUCUGUUGGUUCAUGCGCUGGGCUACCUUCAUUUAGGCAGAUCAAACAGAUAGUGGCACUCAACACCGAGAUCCUGUUUAUUUGUAAUGAGAUGACUGCUUGGUACCACGAGCAUCUGAGGUCUUUUGAACUCAUCUGUGACAGCAGGAACCCCUCUCUGUGUGUGGUGCAGCUGAAAGAUCUAAAUGAUGUGUUCCCUCUUCCAGCAUACACAUAUGGUCAACAUUUAGUAGUGACCCUCAAGCGUCAUAUUAUAUGCUAA